ACUGCAUAUGAUGACAGCUUGGCUCCCUCUACUGAAUGCUGUGAGGAAAAAAGCCUACCUGUUACCCAACUUCUUCUGAGCUGCAGU